CAAGUCGAACGCGAAAGGGGCUUCGGCCCUGAGUAGAGUGGCGAACGGGUGAGUAACGCGUGGGUGAUCUACCUUCGAGUGGGGGAUAACGUUCCGAAAGGAGCGCUAAUACCGCAUGAUGUUCUGGGUUUAAAGACCUGGAAACCAAAGCCGGGGACCGCAAGGCCUGGCGCUUGAAGAGGAGCCCGCGUCCGAUUAGCUAGUUGGCGGGGUAACGGCCCACCAAGGCGACGAUCGGUAGCCGGCCUGAGAGGGCGGACGGCCACACUGGAACUGAGACACGGUCCAGACUCCUACGGGAGGCAGCAGUGGGGAAUUGUUCACAAUGGGCGCAAGCCUGAUGACGCAACGCCGCGUGGGGGAUGAAGGUCUUCGGAUUGUAAACCCCUGUCGAACGGGACGAAAGACUCGGGAGCUAAUCAUCCCGAGAGUGACGGUACCGUUAAAGGAAGCCACGGCUAACUCUGUGCCAGCAGCCGCGGUAAUACAGAGGUGGCAAGCGUUGUUCGGAAUUACUGGGCGUAAAGGGCGCGUAGGCGGCCCACUAAGUCAGACGUGAAAUCCCCCGGCUUAACCUGGGAACUGCGUCUGAUACUGGAGGGCUUGAGUAUGGGAGAGGGAUGUAGAAUUCCAGGUGUAGCGGUGAAAUGCGUAGAUAUCUGGAGGAAUACCGGUGGCGAAGGCGGCAUCCUGGACCAUUACUGACGCUGAGGCGCGAAAGCUAGGGGAGCAAACGGGAUUAGAUACCCCGGUAGUCCUAGCCCUAAACGAUGAAUGCUUGGUGUGGCGGG
rnacentral:rRNA from 1 species